rnacentral:rRNA from 1 species
AACGAACGCUGGCGGCAUGCCUAACACAUGCAAGUCGAACGAGACCUUCGGGUCUAGUGGCGCACGGGUGCGUAACGCGUGGGAAUCUGCCCUUGGGUUCGGAAUAACUCAGAGAAAUUUGAGCUAAUACCGGAUGAUGUCGCAAGACCAAAGAUUUAUCGCCCAAGGAUGAGCCCGCGUAGGAUUAGCUAGUUGGUGAGGUAAAGGCUCACCAAGGCGACGAUCCUUAGCUGGUCUGAGAGGAUGAUCAGCCACACUGGGACUGAGACACGGCCCAGACUCCUACGGGAGGCAGCAGUGGGGAAUAUUGGACAAUGGGCGAAAGCCUGAUCCAGCAAUGCCGCGUGAGUGAUGAAGGCCUUAGGGUUGUAAAGCUCUUUUACCCGGGAUGAUAAUGACAGUACCGGGAGAAUAAGCCCCGGCUAACUCUGUG